GUGCUGUUUGCUGCAAACACUUCGCCUGAUAUCAGCACAUUGCUGCGCUUAUGAGGCUUUAUGUCUGACUGAGAAGUUUUUAAAUCAGAACAAAACCAGAAGAUGCUUAAGUGAUGAUUUCAUUUCCUCUCCCCAGAAACAAACUUCACUUUUAAAGGGACAGUCAUGGGUGAAGCAUCACUCUACCAAAAGUAGGAACUGUGCUGUUUGUUUUAAGAAUGGUGCAAUCAUGACUUUUAGCAGAAUUUGGUUUACAAAUAUGCUUAUUUUUAACAUUAACUUUCUAUUAAAUAAUGUAAACAGCAGGGGCUGGAAAGUCCAGAAGACUAAGAAAGGGAUAUGAUGCCUGCUCUUCACCUAAGCCACCGGUUCAAAUCUGAUCCAGCUCAGGAAAAAGGAUGUGGUGAACACUGCGGACAGUCCAUUGAAGACCUCUGAAUGUUCAGCUAUGGUCAAAAAAGCAAACAAGAUAUUUGGAUGCAUAAAGAAUGGAACACACAGCUGUAUUUUGAACUUUUAGUAAUGGAGCAUGCCAGAAAAGGUUAUGAAAGAAGAAAAAAGGAGCAAGUUGCCAUAUCAGAUCUCUUUUCCCACUUUCCGUGUAUCACUACUAUACAUACUGUAUAUGGACUCCUAAGUGUAAAGCAACUAAUAUCGGUGAAUAAGUUUGUGUAUGACCCAGAUGAGUUCACCGCUGAGGUAUUGUUUACUGCUAGUUUCAACUGUCUGAAGAAGUAUUUCAUUUACAACACAUUUCUAAGUGGACAUUCUUUCAGAACCUUUUAAUGGUAGUUUAUUUGCAAAAUAAACAAUUCUUGUAUAUUUGUGUCUAUGUGUAUUCACAUUCUCAAGGCCUGAUACAAAGCCUAUUAAAGUCAAAGGGAAUCUUUUUACUGACUGUCACGGGUGUUGGCUCAAGCUCUGGUU